rnacentral:rRNA from 1 species
AGUGUAGGCGGCUACUUAAGUCGGAUGUGAAAGCCCCGGGCUCAACCUGGGAAUUGCAUUCGAUACUGGGUAGCUAGAGUUUGGUAGAGGUAAGUGGAAUUCCAGGUGUAGCGGUGAAAUGCGUAGAUAUCUGGAGGAACAUCAGUGGCGAAGGCGGCUUACUGGACCAAAACUGACGCUGAGGCUCGAAAGCGUGGGGAGCAAACAGGAUUAGAUACCCUGGUAGUCC